GCGCGCGCGCGAUCCGCCCAGCUGGGCCGCUCACAUGACCCGCCUCUCGGCGCCGCCCGGCCCGCGCUGAAGCCGUGGUGGCUGCCAUGUUGACUGUGGGAAUGGAAGUUCCCCCCCUCCAACCAGACCAGACGACUGGCGGCUCCGGGGCGGUCGGGCUUUGUGAAGUCCGAGACAGGCCAUGUCUAGUGUGGGCAUGGUCCUGGCGCGGCGGGCAGCGCUGGGCUCGCGUCCGGGGAUGGACCCCGUGGGUGGGUCUCCGUCUUCUGAUCUGAAGGCGAAGGCCUUGGGAAGGUGCGGAGAUCAGAUUGCCGCCCCUUACCAGACGCUGGAAGAAGUGAUGGGCAUGGCCCUGACCGGUCCUGAGCAACCCAGCCCUGCCAGGCUCCCGAGGGACCCGGACUGCUUGCGUGCAUACCGGAACGCCAUCACAGAGUCUGGCACAUCCCGGAAGGCUGGUCUUCCAGGUGGCACCUUGGACUUGGAAUGAAACGAACAUUCAGCCCUGGAACCCAUGCUCUGAGAGCGCCCGGGCCACACUGAGAGGCCCACAUGGAAUCAAGCAACCCAAAGCCCUUAGCCCCAGGCCCUGGCUGAGCUCCGGCUGACAACCAGCACCAACUUGCCAGCUGUGUGAGGGGGCAAUCCUGGAAGUGGGUCGAUCCACCCUAUGGUGCUGCUACAGCAGGGACAAGCCUUCCCUGUCCAGCCCUGCCCAGGUGGCAGACUCCUGGGCAAAAUAAAUUACUGUAUUGUUUUAACCUGUUA